UGCUUACCAUGCAGUCGAGCGAUGAAGCCCAGCUUGCUGGGUGGAUUAGUGGCGAACGGGUGAGUAACACGUGAGUAACCUGCCCUUGACUCUGGGAUAAGCCUGGGAAACUGGGUCUAAUACCGGAUAGGAACGUCCACCGCAUGGUGGGUGUUGGAAAGAUUUAUCGGUCAUGGAUGGACUCGCGGCCUAUCAGCUUGUUGGUGAGGUAAUGGCUCACCAAGGCGACGACGGGUAGCCGGCCUGAGAGGGUGACCGGCCACACUGGGACUGAGACACGGCCCAGACUCCUACGGGAGGCAGCAGUGGGGAAUAUUGCACAAUGGGCGAAAGCCUGAUGCAGCGACGCCGCGUGAGGGAUGACGGCCUUCGGGUUGUAAACCUCUUUCAGUAGGGAAGAAGCGAAAGUGACGGUACCUGCAGAAGAAGCACCGGCUAACUACGUGCCAGCAGCCGCGGUAAUACGUAGGGUGCGAGCGUUAUCCGGAAUUAUUGGGCGUAAAGAGCUCGUAGGCGGUUUGUCGCGUCUGUCGUGAAAGUCCGGGGCUUAACCCCGGAUCUGCGGUGGGUACGGGCAGACUAGAGUGCAGUAGGGGAGACUGGAAUUCCUGGUGUAGCGGUGGAAUGCGCAGAUAUCAGGAGGAACACCGAUGGCGAAGGCAGGUCUCUGGGCUGUAACUGACGCUGAGGAGCGAAAGCAUGGGGAGCGAACAGGAUUAGAUACCCUGGUAGUCCAUGCCGUAAACGUUGGGCACUAGGUGUGGGGACCAUUCCACGGUUUCCGCGCCGCAGCUAACGCAUUAAGUGCCCCGCCUGGGGAGUACGGCCGCAAGGCUAAAACUCAAAGGAAUUGACGGGGGCCCGCACAAGCGGCGGAGCAUGCGGAUUAAUUCGAUGCAACGCGAAGAACCUUACCAAGGCUUGACAUGUUCUCGAUCGCCGUAGAGAUACGGUUUCCCCUUUGGGGCGGGAUCACAGGUGGUGCAUGGUUGUCGUCAGCUCGUGUCGUGAGAUGUUGGGUUAAGUCCCGCAACGAGCGCAACCCUCGUUCCAUGUUGCCAGCACGUCAUGGUGGGGACUCAUGGGAGACUGCCGGGGUCAACUCGGAGGAAGGUGGGGACGACGUCAAAUCAUCAUGCCCCUUAUGUCUUGGGCUUCACGCAUGCUACAAUGGCCGGUACAAUGGGUUGCGAUACUGUGAGGUGGAGCUAAUCCCAAAAAGCCGGUCUCAGUUCGGAUUGGGGUCUGCAACUCGACCCCAUGAAGUCGGAGUCGCUAGUAAUCGCAGAUCAGCAACGCUGCGGUGAAUACGUUCCCGGGCCUUGUACACACCGCCCGUCAAGUCACGAAAGUCGGUAACACCCGAAGCCGGUGGCCUAACCCUUGUGGGGGAGCCGUCGAAGUGACCAGCA
rnacentral:rRNA from 1 species